UGGUUUUUUUCCAGGGAGAAGUUUCUUUUCUUUUUACCCGGCGGCUUACUUUUCUGCAAUGCUUAUUUUCUUUGCUCUCAGGCAAUGUGGAUUAAUUGUAGCCAGGAGCUUCUUCCAGGUCUCCCACGUGGGUGCAGGGGCCCAGGCAUGUGGUCCAUCUUACGCUGCCAUCCCAGGCACAUUAGCAGAGAGCUGGAGCAGAAGUGGAGCAGCCGGGACAUGAACGGGCCCCCAUAUGGGAUGCCGGUGCUGCAGACGGAGGCUUAACCUACUACGCCAGUGCGGCAGCCCCCUGUUUUAACUUUCAAUGUGGGUUUUGAAAGUGUACAUUUUUAAAGUUGGCAGAGAAACAGAAAACUGAAGCUGGGAAAAUGCCUCAGACGGGAAUCAUGACGUCCACUUCUUUCGUUUCUCAAGGAGGAAAUGGAGGCCGGGAGAGUUGAGUGACCCUCCCACAGCCACGGCCACAGGCAAGGUCAGGGCCAGGCUGGGAAGAGAACCCCUGGAUUCACCAACACAUCUCAUGAGCCACCUGGCCUCGCGUACGCCUGCUCUCUCUCCAUCGUGGUUUCUGGUGACGCGGGUUUCUCCCGGCUCCAGCACAUUCAUGCUCAUCUCUUCAAUGAGGUUGACUGGUCACCUGGAAACCAGGAGAAGAGGAAGUAGCUUGAAGCUCAAGGCUCUGAAAAUUCCAGGUAGAUGCUGCGAAACAACACGGAGCUCAGGCAGAUAUCCAUGGAUCCUGAUUCUGGACUUAGAAAAGCAGACUUGGUCUACAGGUAUACCUGCUUUCUAAUUCUAAGUCCCUUGAAGACUCUAUCUCCUAAUAGCACCAAACAGUGCUAUUGGAUCCAUCGCAAGGACUCAAUAAAUGUUUGGUUGAAAACAGG